rnacentral:rRNA from 1 species
CCAAUAGCGUAUAUUAAAGUUGUUGCAGUUAAAAAGCUCGUAGUUGAAUUUCGGGGUCAGCAGGUCGGUCGUGCCAAUGGUAUGCACUGGCCUUGCUGAUUCCUCCCUCUUGAUGAGCCGUAAUGCCAUUAAUUUGGUGUUGCGGGGAAUCAGGACUGUUACUUUGAAAAAAUUAGAGUGUUUAAAGCAGGCAAGCGCUUGAAUACAUUAGCAUGGAAUAAUGAAAUAGGACGUUUGAUCCUAUUUUGUUGGUUUCUAGGAUUGACGUAAUGAUUAAUAGUGAUAGUUGGGGGCAUUAGUAUUCAAUUGUCAGAGGUGAAAUUCUUGGAUUUAUUGAAGACUAACUACUGCGAAAGCAUUUGCCAAGGAUGUUUUCAUUAAUCAAGAACGAAAGUUAGGGGAUCGAAGACGAUCAGAUACCGUCGUAGUCUUAACCAUAAACUAUGCCGACUAGGGAUCGGAUGAAGUUAAUUUUUUAAUGACUCAUUCGGCGCCUUAUG